UGCUUUACACAUGCAAGUCGAACGGCAGCACGGGAGCUUGCUCCUGGUGGCGAGUGGCGAACGGGUGAGUAACAUAUCGGAACGUAUCCAAUAAUGGGGGAUAACUAGUCGAAAGACUUGCUAAUACCGCAUACGCCCUACGGGGGAAAGCAGGGGAUCGUAAGACCUUGCGUUAAUGGAGCGGCCGAUAUCUGAUUAGCUAGUUGGUGAGGUAAAGGCUCACCAAGGCGACGAUCAGUAGCUGGUCUGAGAGGACGACCAGCCACACUGGAACUGAGACACGGUCCAGACUCCUACGGGAGGCAGCAGUGGGGAAUUUUGGACAAUGGGCGCAAGCCUGAUCCAGCCAUUCCGCGUGAGUGAAGAAGGCCUUCGGGUUGUAAAGCUC
rnacentral:rRNA from 1 species